UGAGUAACGCGUAUCCAACCUGCCCUUCACCACGGGAUAACCCGGCGAAAGUCGGACUAAUACCGUAUGUUGUCCAUUGACGGCAUCCGAUUUGGACGAAAGGUUUGGCGGUGAGGGAUGGGGAUGCGUCCGAUUAGCCAGACGGCGGGGUAACGGCCCACCGUGGCUACGAUCGGUAGGGGUUCUGAGAGGAAGGUCCCCCACACUGGAACUGAGACACGGUCCAGACUCCUACGGGAGGCAGCAGUGAGGAAUAUUGGUCAAUGGGCGUAAGCCUGAACCAGCCAAGUAGCGUGCAGGAUGACGGCCCUAUGGGUUGUAAACUGCUUUUAUGCGGGGAUAAAGUGGCCCACGUGUGGGUUUUUGCAGGUACCGCAUGAAUAAGGACCGGCUAAUUCCGUGCCAGCAGCCGCGGUAAUACGGAAGGUCCGGGCGUUAUCCGGAUUUAUUGGGUUUAAAGGGAGCGUAGGCCGCGCCUUAAGCGUGUUGUGAAAUCCGGGUGCUCAACAUCCGGCUUGCAGCGCGAACUGGGGCGCUUGAGUGCGCUGAAAGUAGGCGGAAUUCGUGGUGUAGCGGUGAAAUGCUUAGAUAUCACGAGGAACUCCGAUUGCGAAGGCAGCCUACUGUAGCGCUACUGACGCUGAUGCUCGAAAGCGUGGGUAUCGAACAGGAUUAGAUACCCUGGUAGUCCACGCGGUAAACGAUGGAUGCUCGUUGUCGGCCCCUUGGGUCGGUGACCAAGCGAAAGCGUUAAGCAUCCCA
rnacentral:rRNA from 1 species